UGCAGAUUCAACAGGCCAAAGAGAAUUGUCUGACUAUUCCGUGGUGAAUAUGAAACCGGAGCUAUUCCCCAAAUUCAAUACUGAGGAGAUGAAAAUCCAGAGGCCAAGACUUAAUGUUUCUGAUUCAUAAUGUGUUCAUGUUGCCAUUUUACUGUUGAAAUACACUUUUCAUAUUAUCUUGUGUUUUGAUAUAAGAUCGACAGGUGAUUCAAUAAAGUGAUCAUGUUUUUCUUCGUGCAA